rnacentral:rRNA from 1 species
GACGAACGCUGGCGGCGUGCUUAACACAUGCAAGUCGAACGGAAAGGCCCUGCUUUUGUGGGGUGCUCGAGUGGCGAACGGGUGAGUAACACGUGAGUAACCUGCCCUUGACUUUGGGAUAACUUCAGGAAACUGGGGCUAAUACCGGAUAGGAGCUCCUGCUGCAUGGUGGGGGUUGGAAAGUUUCGGCGGUUGGGGAUGGACUCGCGGCUUAUCAGCUUGUUGGUGGGGUAGUGGCUUACCAAGGCUUUGACGGGUAGCCGGCCUGAGGGGGUGCCCGGCCACUGUGAGUGUGAGACGCGGCAGAGUCUCCUACGAGAGACCGCGGGGGAGAAUAUUGCAGAAGGGGCGGGCGUCGGAUGCAGCAGCGCCGCGUGCGGGAUGGCGGCUUUGGGGGUGUACACCGCUUUCGCGUGUGACGAAGCGUGUGACGGUAUCAUGUGAAAAGGCGCCCGCGAACUACGUG